UUCUAUGUCAUGCAUGCCAUGAAACGAGGCGAAAUGGGCGAAACAAAUUGUUGCUAAUUAUACUUAUAUUCCUGUUAUUUCCAAUACCAAAUUGAACUUCGUAUCUUAGAUGCAUUGUUACUGUCAGUCAUCCCAACAAGUUGACUUAGCGCUCAGUCACUUUCCAUCCAUUAGAUCAUCAUGCUGUGAAAAGCCUUUAACAUCAGAAAAUUUAUCCCACCUGAGAAGUGAUGCAGUUGGUUGCUGUAAUUCCAUUAUUGCGGUUUUUCAUCAUGAACAUUUCAGUGUGCAUCUUAGAAAAUAGCACGCAAGAUCCCCAUGGACAUCCUUGAGCCAAUGCUGGAUUUUGUCAUCUUCAAGACUUCAAGACUACAUUCAUCCAGCUUCACUACUUCAGUGCUUCUUAUCUGCUAGCCUGCUACACAACUUUUCUUGCUUAACUGGCGAGUUGGAUCACUUCAGUUGCUGUGACACACCUGCAGUCACUCACCACGGGAUUAUGGCCAGGUCAUGCAGAGGAAACGUCGAGAAGAUGGAUAC